AUGCCUAUUCCACAUUCUUCCUCAAUUCAGAAGGGUUAAUUAAGUGUCACAGGGUAAGCAAGCUCAUGCCGUCCCAGCCUCUGAUGAACAAGCUGAAGAAGGUUGUCCUUGCGUCCUUAUUGGGCCUCAGUCUUUCAGAUCAGAGGCCGUCACUUCUGCUGUUUUUCUCAGCUCUGGCAGGCAAAGAGCCAGGGGCACCGGUUGGCUGUAGGGAGAGCUGAAGCCCUUUGGUUGUCCUGUCCUCUUGCUCGUAUCUUUCACAGCUAAUCUGUCACAUCGCGGGGUGUGACAAGGAGAACGCCACUAGCAGUCCGUUGUGCAUCCAUGUUGCCUUUGUACAAAUAGUGUGGGCUUCGCCUCAUGUCGCUGCUGUUAACCGCACCAGGAAGCGCUGUAAAGAUGGUUGUAAUUUAAUCUGUAUAUAAUAAAGAGAGGUUUAUGUUGAA